UUUUACCAAAUGUUGUCCGGUCAGAUAAAAAAAUGGUAUAGUUAAUAACCCUGAUAGUAUAUUAAAGGGAGAUAUAGUGGUCAAGGAAGUAUAGUGUGUAAUGAAAGGAAUUCAUGAUUGAGGUGUAUUAAGUUAUAGUGUGUAAUGAAAAAAUGUAGUGGUCGAGAGAAUAUAGUGUGCAAUGAAAGGAUGUAGUAGUUGAGGUGGAUGUAGUGAUUGAAGAAGCAUAAUGUGCAAUAAGAGGAUGUAGU